UGGGGAAUUUUGGACAAUGGGGGGAAACCCUGAUCCAGCCAUCCCGCGUGUGCGAUGAAGGCCUUCGGGUUGUAAAGCACUUUUGGCAGGAAAGAAACGUCGCGGGUUAAUACCCCGCGAAACUGACGGUACCUGCAGAAUAAGCACCGGCUAACUACGUGCCAGCAGCCGCGGUAAUACGUAGGGUGCAAGCGUUAAUCGGAAUUACUGGGCGUAAAGCGUGCGCAGGCGGUUCGGAAAGAAAGAUGUGAAAUCCCAGAGCUUAACUUUGGAACUGCAUUUUUAACUACCGGGCUAGAGUGUGUCAGAGGGAGGUGGAAUUCCGCGUGUAGCAGUGAAAUGCGUAGAUAUGCGGAGGAACACCGAUGGCGAAGGCAGCCUCCUGGGAUAACACUGACGCUCAUGCACGAAAGCGUGGGGAGCAAACAGGAUUAGAUACCCUGGUAGUCCACGCCCUAAACGAUGUCAACUAGCUGUUGGGGCCUUCGGGCCUUGGUAGCGCAGCUAACGCGUGAAGUUGACCGCCUGGGGAGUACGGUCGCAAGAUUAAAACUUAAAUGAAUUGACGGGGUCAUAGCUG
rnacentral:rRNA from 1 species